rnacentral:lncRNA from 1 species
UCCUAAUCUAAUUGGGCUUUCGACCCAUUUCACCUGUCCCAAUCUAAUUGUCGAGCUUUUGGCUCGAAUCUUGCUCUACCUGUAUUAGAUAAAACCUUGGCUUCGUGGCUCGAAUGAAUGCAUAAAUAAGCAACUAAAUGAAUAAAAAACAAUCAACUCAACGCUAAAUAAACUAAAGAAGAUGAGGCUUUUUUCACUUCCAAAUCUUAGUAACUUUGUCAAUGAUCUUAGGCCCGCUAUCUGCUUCUAUCUUAUUACUAGAGUGCCAUAGAAUCACUUCGGGAAUUGAUCCUUGAGGAUAUGGCCCUCACUGGCCCACUUGAUAAUACGAUAGGAAGGAGUCCAUUGUGGACUCCAAUGCAAAUUGACAUGUGAAGGAAGAAAAGGCAAGAAAUUAGAAUCCGAAUCACAUAAUUAGAUAAAUUUAAACAUCACUCAAUAAGGCAUAGUGAUAUGAGUAAUGAAAAAGGGACAAGAUAAAAUAAAAUAAAAUAGAGUGAUGGCAGUGUAGGAAAAGAACAAGAUACCACAUAAUUUAACACAUUCUCUUUGGAAUGUUACCUCCACCUUACUGUUACUUAAUACAAUUCAAUUUACUACUUGAAAGAGGUUAUAAUUGUGUAUUAGCUAUUUUUAUUUCGGAGCAUGUUCAAAAUAUAAAGUGAAACACAAAGAGAAGCCAAAAUUUGCUAUCUCGUGUUUAUGAAUAAGUGUCAGCAAGGACUAUACGUAACAAACAUUCAUUAUACAAUCCUAAUACAAAUUUAAAAUCGUAAGAACACAUAAAAGAAAUUCAAACUUCACGUCUAAGACCAUAAAAUUCCAACUCAAUGCCUCAAUAGUUGUUCUAAUCCCCUUUUCAGUUUCCAAAAGAAACCCAAAAGUGAAUCAGUGCAAAUUUCCAUGAACAGGAAUAAAAGCUCUUGGACCAAACAAUACCCACAAGAAGAUUUGGCAUAAGAACUUUCAAAGGCGAGAACAUAUCAUGAACAUUUCACUUUUAGUUCUGUUUUCACAAGAGCGCGGGUUUUCAAUUCCGUUAAUCCUCCUAGACAUCGUAAACCAAAGAUAUUUAAUGAAACUUUUACUUCAAAGACAAACUGGCUAAACUAAUUUCAACAAUUUCUCAAAUGACUUUAAAUAAGAGAUAAUGGAUUACACCCAAACAUUUCGAAUCAAGGAUCAAGAAUAAAAAUAAUAAAAAUAAAAAAAAUGUGAAAAAAACCCCACAAAUAAGUUCAAGUCGACACUGUUACUAAGCAAAGUCGACAAUCUAUAAGGUUCGUAAGUGAAAACCUCUCAUAUAUUUCCAUAACGAAUACACCAGGAAACUUAAAUGAAUAGGAAAAACAAAACCUCUCAAAACCAAAAAUUCAGUGUCAAUCACAUCCAAAUAAAAUGAAAAAUAAGACCAACCAUGACUCUAAAAACUGCAGUAAAGAUGACUGUUAUUCCAAUCCUCCUCCUCAUUCUGACAGAUUCGAACAAAGUGGUCAUUGAGGUAUCCUAGAAUUUUUGAUACGUUUUUGGACCUUGCCCAUUUUUCCUUUGGCAUCUGACAAGCCCAAAGGAGUCUACAAGGCAAUCCUACUAUCGUCGCUACUAGAUCGACAAUUGCGACGUUGUCCAGCGACAAUAACAAACCAAACAACAUCAGGCUGAAACUGUUAAGAAAAAACAUGAAUCUAACCACAACUAAUACACAAGGUUAGGAAUUAGGUCAUAAAUUAAUCAAUAAUACCAAGAAUAGAUAACAUAUUACAAAACCAAAAUGAAAAGAGAACCAAGAAAACUACGUAGCAGACACUCAGAACAGGGAUUAAUUCCUAACAUAACAAUACAUUCAAAAUAUCUUUCACCAAAAACAACACCCUGUGGUCUUUAAGACCUCUCCAAGAAGGCAACCCAACAUACAAAAUCACAAACAAGACUACAUCAGCUACUCCCAUUAGAACAAGAUUACUACCUCAACUACAUCAGCUAUGAAGAAAAGAGACAAAGAAGAGAAACGAUCAAAUUAAAGGGAAAACAGAGUGUAUUUACCUCUUUAAGUGCAUCAACUGGGACGACGAGUGGGUAGGGAGAUCACGACCACUAGAAAACUUCUCCACCGUCAACUCGAAACACUAAUUUAGCCGACCAACUUUCGAAACAAAGACAAAAUUCCUACUCAAAACUCAAUUUUCUAAAAAAUUUCUUUCUCUUUAUUUCUUCUUUCUCUCUCAAUUUUUUCGAACCAGAGAUUUUUUCUCAGAAAUGUUCCCACCCACUUUUCAGCUUCACAAUGGGUCGCUUAUAUAGAGGAACAUUGAGGAAUAUUUUCAGGAUUCUUUUUUGGGAAAAUUUGAAAUUUAAAUGAUGAGAGUAGUAACCGAUUAUACCCCCAUUUUGAUUUCUUGAACGGAUUUCUGGGGAACAUUGGAAAACGGAUUUUCUUCUCAACCAAUUGGAAUCGAGGACAUAUGUACUUUUUCAGUAUGGAUCUAACAAAUUCUCCAUAAAAUUUGGAGAACAUUCAUUGAAAUCGUGACUUGGCUGCCACCUAUUGAUUUUCUAGAAGCUCCUCAAUGUUUCUCAUGUUAUUUUUGCGUGGAAAGGCACGUGACGAGUAUGGAGAAUGUCGGAUCAAUUUAGGUUUUGCUAAAGUGAGUCAAAAUUUUUGUCGCGAUUUUAAGUGCUGGUGGGAACGGAUUCGGGUCGAGAAAGAGGGGAAUCAGGUCAUUGAUUUGUUUGAUGGGAUCAAAUUUGAUACGGGUCGAGAUGGGUUCUGGUUCAGGUAUUCCUGAUGUUUCUUCGUUUUUAUGGGGGAUGUUGAAGAUUGUUCUUCUUUUGGUUUAUGUUUGAAGAGGAG